AAGCAAAGGACGACAAAGAGAAAAACAUAGGAUUCUUUAUUUGACGUUCAAUUAAAGAACAUUUGCAAUUCAUUUUGCCACGUCGUGACAUACAUACUGCAGAGGACAAUAAACGUUAGACAAUAACUCUGCUGAAACAAACACUAACACGUUACUAAAACACAAUAAUUGCAUUGAAAAUAAAACGACACAACUAAGAGAUAACGAAACCUGUUCAUUUAUCUUUCAUUAUAGAAGUAUAUAGAAAAUAUCUUAUUUUAAUAACGGCAGUCAACAACAUCAUUAAUUUAUUUUCUUUUUUGAAAUCUGUGUUUUUAGUGCUAACUGUAAAUCACUUUCAAUAAUUACUGAUUUGACUAGCCAGUGGUUAUAUUUUUGUCAAUGACUGUGUUUUGUUAGUAAUUGUCCUUGUAUUUCUUUGAUAUUUCAAUCAAAUUCCGCCACGUCGUAGUCAUGAUGCACACAGCAAUCGAAGAAAGUGAGUGUUGGAAACUCAACUCUGAUAUUUUUAGUCAGGCAAGAGAUGGGGAGUAACAAAAAGAAAAACAAGGAUUCUUUGUUUGAUGUUUAAUUACAGAUUGGCCACGUCGUAACCCACUUGUAGUCCCCAAACAUAUAUGCCAUGGACCUACUUCGAAAAUUGUGAUUUUUUCAUGCGUCUAUCGAGGAAGCAAAGAGUUUUCUAACCAUCAUUGAUCUUGCUGCUGUAGUAGUACUUAUAUAUAUAUAUCAACUUUAGCAUGUAUGUCAAUCGUAUAACUUAAUAUUGCAAAUUAAUAAGAAAAUCGAUUAUUUUGUCUUGAGUGAAUUGUCAGAGAAGGGUGAAAUCACUAUAUCGUUUUUACGUCUUAGCCAAUCAAAGCAAAGAGAGUCUUGCUCUCAACCAGUUUUGUAGCGUCUGGGUGAAAGGUCUUUCACUACACUUGGUAAAUAAGGGCAAACAACAAGGCUUGCUGAAUUUUUAUCAUUAUUAUUAUUAUUAUUAUUAUUAUAUAGAAAAUAUCUUAUUUUAAUAACGGCAGUCAAGAACAUCAUUAAUUUAUUUUCUAUUUUGAAAUCUGUGUUUUUAGUGCUAACUGUAAAUCACUUUCAAUAAUUACUGAUUUGACUAGCCAGUGGUUA